UAUACGACCGUACCGCAAACCGACACUGGUGCGCGAGAUGAGUAUUCUAAGGCGCUUGAGAGAACUCAGGAGAAGGAACUCGGCAAAUUGACACCGUAACUUCGGAAGAAGGUGUGCCCUAUUAGUGUGUAGUGAACAACGAAGCAUGAAUGGGUUGCAAAAAAUCGGUGGCUGCGACUGUUUAUUAAAAACACAGCACUCUGCAAACACGAAAGUGGACGUAUAGGGUGUGACGCCUGCCCGGUGCUGGAAGAUUAAAUGAUGGGGUGCAAGCUCUUGAUUGAAGUCCCAGUAAACGGCGGCCGUAACGAUAACGGUCCUAAGGUAGCGAAAUUCCUUGUCGGGUAAGUUCCGACCUGCACGAAUGGCGUAACGAUGGCCACACUGUCUCCUCCUGAGACUCAGCGAAGUUGAAAUGUUUGUGAUGAUGCAAUCUCCCCGCGGAAAGACGGAAAGACCCCAUGAACCUUUACUGUAGCUUUGUAUUGGACUUUGAACAGAUCUGUGUAGGAUAGGUGGGAGGCUUUGAAGCAGGGUCGCUAGAUCUUGUGGAGCCAACGUUGAAAUACCACCCUGGUGUGUUUGAGGUUCUAACCUAGGUCCAUUAUCUGGAUCGGGGACAGUGCAUGGUAGGCAGUUUGACUGGGGCGGUCUCCUCCCAAAGCGUAACGGAGGAGUUCGAAGGUACGCUAGUUACGGUCGGACAUCGUGACGAUAGUGCAAUGGCAUAAGCGUGCUUAACUGCGAGACUGACAAGUCGAGCAGAUGCGAAAGCAGGACAUAGUGAUCCGGUGGUUCUGUAUGGAAGGGCCAUCGCUCAACGGAUAAAAGGUACUCUGGGGAUAACAGGCUGAUACCGCCCAAGAGUUCAUAUCGACGGCGGUGUUUGGCACCUCGAUGUCGGCUCAUCUCAUCCUGGGGCUGUAGCCGGUCCCAAGGGUAUGGCUGUUCGCCAUUUAAAGAGGUACGUGAGCUGGGUUUAAAACGUCGUGAGACAGUUUGGUCCCUAUCUUCCGUGGGCGCUGCAGAUUUGAGGAAGCCUGCUCCUAGUACGAGAGGACCGGAGUGGACACACCUCUGGUGUAUCGGUUGUCACGCCAGUGGCAUUGCCGAGUAGCUAAGUGUGGAAGAGAUAACCGCUGAAAGCAUCUAAGCGGGAAACUCGUUUCAAGAUGAGAUCUGCCGGGGCCUUGAGCCCCCUAAAGAGUCGUUCAAGACCAGGACGUUGAUAGGUCAGGUGUGGAAGCGAAAAAAAAAAAUU
rnacentral:rRNA from 1 species